UGCAGUCGAGCGGGCCCUUCGGGGUCAGCGGCAGACAGGUGAGUAACGCGUGGGAACGUGCCCUUCGGUUCGGAAUAACUCACGGAAACUUGAGCUAUUACCGGAUACACCCUUUUGGGGAAAGGUUUACUGCCAAAGAUCGGCCCGCGUCUGAUUAUCUAUUUGGUGAGGUUAUGGCUCACCAAGGCGACAAUAACUAUCUGGUCUGAGAGGAUGAUCACCCACACUGGGACUGAGACACGGCCCACACUCCUACGGGAGGCGGCACUGGGGAAUAUUGGACAAUGGGGGCAACCCUGAUCCCCCCCUGCCCCGUGAGUGAUGACAGCCUUAUGGUUGUAAAGCUCUUUUUUCCGGGACAAUAAUGACGGUACCGGAGGAAAAAGCCCCGGCUAACUUCUUGCCACCACCCGCGGUAAUACAAAAGGGGCUAGCGUUGCUCGGAAUCACUGGGCGUAAAGGGCGCGUAUGCGGCUGAUUUAUCUAGGGUGAAAGCCUGUGGCUCAACCACACAAUUGCCUUCUAUACUGGUUGGCUU
rnacentral:rRNA from 2 species